rnacentral:lncRNA from 1 species
GGACUAUUUGGAGUAACUAACUCCCUAACUAACUUUCUAACCUCCUAACUAACUUGGUAACCUAUCAACUAACUCUAGUUGAUUAACUAACUAUCUAUAUUCUUAACAGCCUCCCUCAAACUCAACAUUGGAAAGUUUUCCAAUUUGAGUUUGAAUUACAUGUAGUUCUCAAACUUUCGUGUAAAAAAAAAACAUUAUGUUAUGAUAAUCUCCAAUGA